AGAGUUUGAUCCUGGCUCAGGACGAACGCUGGCGGCGUGCUUAACACAUGCAAGUCGAACGGAAAGGCCCCUUCGGGGGUGCUCGAGUGGCGAACGGGUGAGUAACACGUGGGUGAUCUGCCCUGCACUUUGGGAUAAGCCUGGGAAACUGGGUCUAAUACCGGAUAGGACUACGGGAUGCAUGUCCUGUGGUGGAAAGCGUUUGCGGUGUGGGAUGGGCCCGCGGCCUAUCAGCUUGUUGGUGGGGUGAUGGCCUACCAAGGCGACGACGGGUAGCCGGCCUGAGAGGGUGUCCGGCCACACUGGGACUGAGAUACGGCCCAGACUCCUACGGGAGGCAGCAGUGGGGAAUAUUGCACAAUGGGCGCAAGCCUGAUGCAGCGACGCCGCGUGGGGGAUGACGGCCUUCGGGUUGUAAACCUCUUUCAGUCACGACGAAGCGUAAGUGACGGUAGUGACAGAAGAAGCACCGGCCAACUACGUGCCAGCAGCCGCGGUAAUACGUAGGGUGCGAGCGUUGUCCGGAAUUACUGGGCGUAAAGAGCUCGUAGGUGGUUUGUCGCGUUGUUCGUGAAAACUCACAGCUCAACUGUGGGCGUGCGGGCGAUACGGGCAGACUGGAGUACUGCAGGGGAGACUGGAAUUCCUGGUGUAGCGGUGGAAUGCGCAGAUAUCAGGAGGAACACCGGUGGCGAAGGCGGGUCUCUGGGCAGUAACUGACGCUGAGGAGCGAAAGCGUGGGGAGCGAACAGGAUUAGAUACCCUAGUAGUCC
rnacentral:rRNA from 1 species